rnacentral:rRNA from 1 species
GAUGAACGCUGGCGGCGUGCUUAACACAUGCAAGUCGAACGGUGAAGCAGAGCUUGCUCUGUGGAUCAGUGGCGAACGGGUGAGUAACACGUGAGCAAUCUGCCCUUGACUCUGGGAUAAGCGCUGGAAACGGCGUCUAAUACUGGAUACGAGCUGCGAAGGCAUCUUCAGCAGCUGGAAAGAAUUUCGGUCAAGGAUGAGCUCGCGGCCUAUCAGCUUGUUGGUGAGGUAAUGGCUCACCAAGGCGUCGACGGGUAGCCGGCCUGAGAGGGUGACCGGCCACACUGGGACUGAGACACGGCCCAGACUCCUACGGGAGGCAGCAGUGGGGAAUAUUGCACAAUGGGCGCAAGCCUGAUGCAGCAACGCCGCGUGAGGGACGACGGCCUUCGGGUUGUAAAGCUCUUUUGUGCGGGAAGAUAAUGACGGUACCGCAAGAAUAAGCCCCGGCUAACUUCGUGCCAGCCGCCGCGGUAAUAC